GCACGGUAAACGAUGGAUGCUCGCUGUUCGGCCUUCGGGUUGAGCGGCUAAGGGAAACCAUUAAGCAUCCCACCUGGGGAGUACGCCGGCAACGGUGAAACUCAAAGGAAUUGACGGGGGCCCGCACAAGCGGAGGAACAUGUGGUUUAAUUCGAUGAUACGCGAGGAACCUUACCCGGGCUUGAACUGCAGGUGAACGAUACAGAGAUGUUGAGGUCCUUCGGGACACCUGUGGAGGUGCUGCAUGGUUGUCGUCAGCUCGUGCCGUGAGGUGUCGGCUUAGGUGCCAUAACGAGCGCAACCCCUGUCCUUAGUUGCCAUCACUUCGGGUGGGCACUCUGGGGAUACUGCCACCGUAAGGUGUGAGGAAGGUGGGGAUGACGUCAAAUCAGCACGGCCCUUACGUCCGGGGCUACACACGUGUUACAAUGGCGUGUACAGAGAGUUGGUACUGGGCAAUCAGUAUCUAAUCAAUAAAACACGUCUCAGUUCGGAUUGGGGUCUGCAACCCGACCCCAUGAAGCUGGAUUCGCUAGUAAUCGCGCAUCAGCCAUGGCGCGGUGAAUACGUUCCCGGGCCUUGUACACACCGCCCGUCAAGCCAUGAAAGCCGGGGGCGCUUGAAGUCCGUGACCGCAAGGAUCGGCCUAGAGCGAAACUGGUAAUUGGGGCU
rnacentral:rRNA from 1 species